UACAGUGUGACAGAAAAAUGUGAUAAAUUUAAGAUUUAUUUAUGUAUAUUUUAUGUACCUCUGU
rnacentral:tRNA from 1 species